GAACUGAAGAGUUUGAUCCUGGCUCAGAUUGAACGCUGGCGGCAUGCCUUACACAUGCAAGUCGGACGGCAGCGCGGGGGAGACCUUGGCGGCGAGUGGCGAACGGGUGAGUAGAGCAUCGGAACGUAUCUGGGAGUGGGGGAUAACGUAGCGAAAGUUACGCUAAUACCGCAUAAACUGUGAGCAGAAAAGCAGGGGAUCGCAAGACCU
rnacentral:rRNA from 1 species